rnacentral:rRNA from 1 species
UACAGGGGGUGCAAACGUUGUUCGGAAUUACUGGGCGUAAAGGGCGCGUAGGCGGCCUUCUAAGUCGAACGUGAAAUCCCUGGGCUCAACCCAGGAACUGCGUCCGAUACUGGAAGGCUUGAAUCCGGGAGAGGGAUGCGGAAUUCCAGGUGUAGCGGUGAAAUGCGUAGAUAUCUGGAGGAACACCGGUGGCGAAGGCGGCAUCCUGGACCGGUAUUGACGCUGAGGCGCGAAAGCCAGGGGAGCAAACGGG